GGAAAGAUCGAUGCCGGUAAUGGGGGGAUCUGCGGAGAAGCCCCUCCUCUGGAAGGCGCCAGGCGGGAAGGGCUUCGGGACGCCGCUGGCGUUUCUCUGGAAGGACCUGUGCUGCGGAUGCUGGGAAAUGUAGUCCCGCAUUCCCUUCUCCAGAAGACGCCACCCCUCGCGUUCGAUUGGGAACCUGAAAUGCGGUAUCGCUAUUGCGCGCAGCAGCCGAGCUCUCCAAGUUCAAGAGUUGACCCCGCCCCUGUGGCGUAUCACGUGACAGAGACGAUGGCUUGGAAGAUGGGGCGGAGCCUACGCCGUCGUGCUCCGAUCCCAAAGGGCUCGGCCAGCUACACCUCCCUGAACAUAUAGACAAAUUAGAGUGAUCCACCGCCCUGCUUGUUUUUGGGAUAAAACCCCAUAGAGAGUAGUAGGACGAGAAAAUCUUUAUGUUGGGGUGCGGCCAUUUUGUGUGUGGGGCGGGGAGAGGCGAGCAAUACAAACCACAGAAAGUGUAGAGUGACACCCAAAGCCUGAUAUUUUGGCAUCCCAGUUUGGCUCGUACUGUUGGAAGAUGGAGUCCCGGAGAUCUGGAUAAUACCUGCUUGGAGAAGGCAAGAAACUAUGGUUUAACCAUCAGUUAAAGGAGGCCAAAGUUCGAGCCUCCACUUUGAGCUGGUUCCACUUUUCAGUGUGCCCUACAUCACAGGGUUGUUGUGGAGAAAAAAGGGAGCGAAGCCAGAGGGGCUCCCACAGAGCACCUUACAUAUAAUCCAGUGUGACUGUCCCUGCUUGAAGCCUUACGACCUGUUCCAUGUUCGUUCAAUGGUGAGAGCCUGCUUAGGUUUUGAGCAUUUUACUAUGAAUACAUAGGACUAGCCUUGCUUGACCUGGUGUCAAUUAAUAGAGCUCUGGGUUUGGCUUUUUGUUUUGGUUUGAUUUGUUUUCCUAUGAAACCACUAAGGCAAGGAGUCAUUACCUUUUUAUUGCUAUGUGCCACUGAGUAAAGCUUUCCAAAAUGUCCUGCCCAGCCAGGUCUUCCAAGUUCAAGGUUGUGGCUCCCCCAGUGGAUUCAAUUCAUCUCAUAUUUGGUCUCCCCUUUCCAAUUCUGGCUUUCCCUAACAUGGAUGUUCUGUGACUCAGAACUGAUGGGGGAGUGUGACCCUGGACUUCUCAGCACCCUUCAAUACUAUUGACCACAGUAUCCUUCUGGAUCACCUGAGGAAGUCAGGAAUUGGAGGCACUGCUUCGCAGCGCUUCCGUUUCUACCUCUCAGGCUGGUUCCAGACGGUGAUGUCCGGAGAUGGUUGCUCCUCCGAAAAGGAACUGUGUGGCAUCCCAUGGCACAGUCCCACUCUGUCCCCAGUGCUGUUUAACAUCUACGUGAAGCCGCUGGGAGAGAUCAUCCGGAGGGACGGACGAAGUUCUUCCACUGCUCCUGCAGUGCUUCUAGGGCAGCGUCUUCUCUCUGAAGGACCACCCGAAGCUGGCGAUGCGCGCUGGAGGAGGAGAAGCCAAGUGACCUUGAAUCCAGAAAAGACAGCCGUGCUUGCUGUUUAAGGCCCAAAUCCAGGAUCAGAGGUGUGUCGAGCGGUCCUAGGUGGGAUCACACUACUCGAAGUCCGUGUUCACAGGCUGGGGGUGCUGCUUGGCCUGGCCCUUCUGAUGCCAGCUCGGACAGAAGCUGUGCUCAAGAGUGCCUGUCAUCAGUUUCGGUUGAUGCGCCAAAAGCGCCUCUUCCUGGAGGACACAGACCUGAAAACAGUUGUGCAAACGCUAACUUCUGGACGCCAUUUCACUCUACAUAGAGCUGCCUUGCUUCUCUGGAACACGCUACUGCAAUACUGGUCUCUGGGACAUCAUGGAGAGCCAAAAUUCCACCUGUUUUGCACUGGCUGCAGGUACGUUUCUAGAUGCAGCACAAGGUGUUGGUAAUUACCUUUAAAGCUCUGCAUGGCUUGAGUCCAAAAUACCUUCUGGAGCGCCAGCUAAGGUCCUCUGGGGAUAAUCGCGUGAAGUCUGCUUCUGUAAGAUUAAUGCCAGCUACCCAGAGGACUUUCUCAGUGGUUGCCCUUAAGCAGUGCAACGGCCUGCCGGGAGAGAUGAAUCCAAUCUCCCAGGAUGCCACCUUUAAGAGGGAGUUAAGGCCGUAUCUCUUCUGACAGGCCUUCCCAGAUUAGUUUUCGUGUCAGUUUUAUUCAAGAUGCUGCUUUUAGUCAAAUUUUAAUCACUGUUGGUUUUAAUUUCAUGUAAAAUGGCCAGAGCCUAUGGGACUGGGGUGGUAUAUAAAUAUUAAAAUGAUAACAGGAUCAACUUCGCCAUUA